GAAAUGCGAUAAGUAAUGUGAAUUGCAGAAUUUAGUGAAUCAUCGAAUCUUUGAACGCACAUUGCGCCCCUUGGUAUUCCGAGGGGCAUGCCUGUUCGAGCGUCGUCACACCCCCUCAAGCCGCGCCGUGUGUGUGGCUUGGUGUUGGGGCUCGUCCGUCGGGCGGCCCUUAAAGACAGUGGCGGUGCCGUUGUGGUCUCUACGCGUAGUACGAUUCUCGCGACAGAGCGGCAGCGGCGGCUUGCCAAUCAAUCCUUUCUUUUUAAAGGUUGACCUCGAAUCAGGUAGGGAUACCCGCUGAACUUAA
rnacentral:misc_RNA from 1 species